GGAAUUUUCCGCAAUGGGCGAAAGCCUGACGGAGCAAUACCGCGUGAGGGAUGACGGCCUGUGGGUUGUAAACCUCUUUUCUCAAGGAAGAAGUUCUGACGGUACUUGAGGAAUAAGCAUCGGCUAACUCUGUGCCAGCAGCCGCGGUAAUACAGAGGAUGCAAGCGUUAUCCGGAAUCACUGGGCAUAAAGCGUCUGUAGGUUGUUUAGUAAGUCUGCUGUUAAAGACUGGGGCUCAACCCCAGAAAAGCAGUGGAAACUGCUAGACUUGAGUGUGGUAGAGGUAGAGGGAAUUUCCAGUGGAGCGGUGAAAUGCGUAGAUAUUGGAAAGAACACCGAUGGCGAAGGCACUUUACUGGGCUAUUACUGACACUCAGAGACGAAAGCUAGGGUAGCAAAUGGGAUUAGAUACCCCAGUAGUC
rnacentral:rRNA from 1 species